GAUGAACGCUGGCGGCGUGCCUAAUACAUGCAAGUCGAGCGAACGGACGAGAAGCUUGCUUUUCUGAUGUUAGCGGCGGACGGGUGAGUAACACGUGGAUAACCUACCUAUAAGGCUGGGAUAACUUCGGGAAACCGGAGCUAAUACCGGAUAAUAUUUUGAACCGCAUGGUUCAAAAGUGAAAGACGGUCUUGCUGUCACUUAUAGAUGGAUCCGCGCUGCAUUAGCUAGUUGGUAAGGUAACGGCUUACCAAGGCAACGAUGCAUAGCCGACCUGAGAGGGUGAUCGGCCACACUGGAACCGAGACACGGUCCAGACUCCUACGGGAGGCAGCAGUAGGGAAUCUUCCGCAAUGGGCGAAAGCCUGACGGAGCAACGCCGCGUGAGUGAUGAAGGUCUUCGGAUCGUAAAACUCUGUUAUUAGGGAAGAACAUAUGUGUAAGUAACUGUGCACAUCUUGACGGUACCUAAUCAGAAAGCCACGGCUAACUACGUG
rnacentral:rRNA from 1 species